CAGUUAUCGUUUAUUUGAUAGUACCUUACUACUUGGAUAACCGUGGUAAUUCUAGAGCUAAUACAUGCUGAAAACCUCGACUCCGGAAGGGGUGUAUUUAUUAGAUAAAAAGCCAAUGCCCUUCGGGGCUUUCUGGUGAUUCAUAAUAACUUAACGAAUCGCAUGGCCUUGCGCCGGCGAUGGUUCAUUCAAAUUUCUGCCCUAUCAACUUUCGAUUGUUGGGUAGUGGCCAACAAUGGUGUUUACGGGUAACGGGGAAUUAGGGUUCUAUUCCGGAGAGGGAGCCUGAGAAACGGCUACCACAUCCAAGGAAGGCAGCAGGCGCGCAAAUUAUCCAAUUCCGACACGGAGAGAUAGUGACAAUAAAUAUUAAUCCAGGGAUCUUUAGGUUCUUGGAAUUGAAAUGAGUACAAUUUAAAUCCCUUAACGAGGAACAAUUGGAGGGCAAGUCUGGUGCCAGCAGCCGCGGUAAUUCCAGCUCCAAUAGCGUAUAUUAAAUUUGUUGCAGUUAAAAAGCUCGUCGUUGAAACUUGGAUCUGGUCGGUCGGUCCGCCUCACCGCGUGCACUGAUUCGACCGGAUCUUUCCUUCUGGGGAAGCGCAUGCCCUUUAUUGGGCGUGUCGGGGAACCAGGACUUUUACUUUGAAAAAAUUAGAGUGUUCAAAGCAGGCCUAUGCUCGAAUACAUUAGCAUGGAAUAAUAGAAUAGGACGUGUGGUUCUAUUUUGUUGGUUUCUAGGACCGCCGUAAUGAU
rnacentral:rRNA from 1 species